GGUCAAUGAUGAGCCGGCAUGUAUUCUGAGUCUAACGUUGAUUAUUCCUACUAUAGCUCUAGAAUUACUCUGAGACCUG
ensembl:snoRNA